GACGUAGGGCGCGAGCGUUGUCCGGAUUUAUUGGGCGUAAAGAGCUCGUAGGCGGCUUGUCGCGUCGAAUGUGAAAACUCGGGGCUCAACCCCGCGCUUGCAUUCGAUACGGGCAGGCUCGAGUUCGGUAGGGGAGACUGGAAUUCCUGGUGUAGCGGUGGAAUGCGCAGAUAUCAGGAAGAACACCCGUGGCGAAGGCGGCUCUCUGGAACGCAACUGACGCUGAGACGCGAAAGCGUGGGGAGCAAACAGG
rnacentral:rRNA from 1 species